ACUCAGAGCCCAGUGUAGAUCCUGCCUCGUGCACACAGCAGCUACAUUUGACUACUGGGUCU
rnacentral:pre_miRNA from 1 species